rnacentral:rRNA from 1 species
UACAGGGGGGGCAAGCGUUGUUCGGAAUUAUUGGGCGUAAAGGGCUCGUAGGCGGCCAACUAAGUCACACGUGAAAUCCCCAGGCUUAACCUGGGAACUGCGUGUGAUACUGGAUGGCUUGAAUCCGGGAGAGGGAUGCGGAAUUCCAGGUGUAGCGGUGAAAUGCGUAGAUAUCUGGAGGAACACCGGUGGCGAAGGCGACAUCCUGGACCAAUUCUGACGCUGAGGAGCGAAAGCCAGGGGAGCAAACGGG